GACGAACGCUGGCGGCGUGCUUAACACAUGCAAGUCAAACGGAAAGGCCCUGCUUUUGUGGGGUGCUCGAGUGGCGAACGGGUGAGUAACACGUGAGUAACCUGCCCUUGACUUUGGGAUAACUUCAGGAAACUGGGGCAAAUACCGGAUAGGAGCUCCUGCUGCAUGGUGGGGGUUGGAAAGUUUCGGCGGUUGGGGAUGGACUCGCGGCUUAUCAGCUUGUUGGUGGGGUAGUGGCUUACCAAGGCUUUGACGGGUAGCCGGCCUGAGAGGGUGACCGGCCACAUUGGGACUGAGAUACGGCCCAGACUCCUACGGGAGGCAGCAGUGGGGAAUAUUGCACAAUGGGCGGAAGCCUGAUGCAGCAACGCCGCGUGCGGGAUGACGGCCUUCGGGUUGUAAACCGCUUUCGCCUGUGACGAAGCGUGAGUGACGGUAAUGGGUAAAGAAGCACCGGCUAACUACGUG
rnacentral:rRNA from 1 species